rnacentral:rRNA from 1 species
ACGGGAGGCAGCAGUGGGGAAUAUUGCGCAAUGGACGAAAGUCUGACGCAGCAACGCCGCGUGAGGGAUGACGGCCUUCGGGUUGUAAACCUCUUUCAGCAGGGACGAAGCGAGAGUGACGGUACCUGCAGAAGAAGGACCGGCCAACUACGUGCCAGCAGCCGCGGUAAUACGUAGGGUCCGAGCGUUGUCCGGAAUUAUUGGGCGUAAAGGGCUCGUAGGCGGUUCGUCACGUCGGGAGUGAAAACUCGGAGCUUAACUCCGAGCCUGCUUCCGAUACGGGCAGACUAGAGGUAGGCAGGGGAGAGCGGAACUCCUGGUGUAGCGGUGGAAUGCGCAGAUAUCAGGAAGAACACCGGUGGCGAAGGCGGCUCUCUGGGCCUUACCUGACGCUGAGGAGCGAAAGCGUGGGUAGCGAACAGGAUUAGAUACCCUGGUA